GACGAACGCUGGCGGCGUGCUUAACACAUGCAAGUCGAGCGGUAAGGCCCUUUCGGGGGUACGACGAGCGGCGAACGGGUGAGUAACACGUGGGUGACCUGCCCUCCAGCUCUGGGAUAAGCCUGGGAAACCGGGUCUAAUACUGGAUAUGACUCCAUGACGCAUGUUGUGGGGUGGAAAGCCUUGUGCGGCUGAGGAUGGGCCCGCGGCCUAUCAGCUUGUUGGUGGGGG
rnacentral:rRNA from 1 species